GACGUAGGGGGCCAGCGUUGUUCGGAAUUACUGGGUGUAAAGGGUUCGUAGGCGGUGUGGCAAGUCGGGAGUGAAAUCUCUGGGCUCAACCCAGAGUCUGCUUCCGAAACUGCUGUGCUUGAGUGUGGGAGAGGCGCGUGGAAUUGCAGGUGUAGCGGUGAAAUGCGUAGAUAUCUGCAGGAACACUCGUGGCGAAAGCGGCGCGCUGGACCACUACUGACGCUGAGGAACGAAAGCUAGGGGAGCAUACAGG
rnacentral:rRNA from 1 species